AUGUUACUAAUUUAAUCGAUAUUGAUGGUUUUAAAACCAAAGAAACUGGUAGCUCAGAGUCAAAGAGAAGAGGACCAGCUCCGGGCAUAACGGUCAGGUAUUCGGGCAUGCUUGUCUCCCGAAUACUGCAACAAAUGACGUUAUCAAGUUCACUAAAAUAGCUCAUUCCGGGCAAUGACAACGCCACGAUCCCUCGCAAAGGUCCAGUUGGGCCCGGCCCACGAACGUUACUAUUUAUUUAUUUAUCUUCCUCUCUUUUGCUAAACUCCUUCCCUACCUUCUCCUCCAAAUACCUCACCGUUUCUCAAGUCUCUAUAUCUCUCUGUUUCUACUUCUCUCUCUGAAAAGAACAGAGAGAAUAUCUAUUAUGGAUGAAAAAAUGAGGCAGGAGUUUCUUCGAGGCAACAUCAAAAACAUUAACAUUACCAUCUAUUGUGAGGAGACUACCAGUUUCUCUUCAAAACUCCUUUAUUGAUAUACCCCGGUGUUAUCCCUACCUGAGCUUUUUUUUUCUUUUUAUUUUUUUUCAACUCUUUUGUUCUAUUGAAUUAUUCUAUUUUCUUGACCUUGUAAGACCUUUUCUUGACCUUGUAAGACCCCACCCCCUUUUAAGUAUCUCAACCUUCUAUCCUUUUAAAGUCUCUCUACUAUCUCUUUUUGGUGUAGAAUGUGUAUGUAUCUCUAUUCCUAGUUCAUUUGAGUCAGUUUUUCUACCUUGUCUAUCCCUUCUGAGCUAAUGUUUACAUAUUCUUGUUGGUCAUUGAUGUAAGGUUGAUAUAAAUUCCAAAUGAACAACUUAACCUUUUCUUA